CCCCUAGAUGUUCUGGGCCGCACGCGCGCUACACUGACGAAUGCAACGAGCUUAUAACCUUGGCCGAAAGGUCUGGGUAAUCUCCAAAUUUCGUCGUGAUGGGGAUAGAUUAUUGCAAUUAUUAAUCUUCAACGAGGAAUGCCUAGUAAGCGCAAGUCAUCAGCUUGCGUUGAUUACGUCCCUGCCCUUUGUACACACCGCCCGUCGCUCCUACCGAUUGAAUGGUCCGGUGAAGCGUUCGGACCGUGGCCUUUGGACGGUUCGCCGUCUGUUGGCUGCGGGAAGUUCGUUAAACCUUAUCAUUUAGAGGAAGGAGAANUCGUANCA
rnacentral:rRNA from 1 species